rnacentral:rRNA from 1 species
UUACAGAGUUUUUAACUCCUAAAACCAUGUGAACUUACCACUGUUGCCUCGGUGGAAGGUGCCCGAAAGGGUGCUGGAAGCCGGCGGACAUCUAAACUCUUGUUAAUUUUUGUUAUUCUGAAUCAAACUAAGAAAUAAGUUAAAACUUUCAACAACGGAUCUCUUGGUUCUGGCAUCGAUGAAGAACGCAGCGAAAUGCGAUAAGUAAUGUGAAUUGCAGAAUUCAGUGAAUCAUCGAAUCUUUGAACGCACAUUGCGCCCAUUAGUAUUCUAGUGGGCAUGCCUGUUCGAGCGUCAUUUCAACCCUUAAGCCUAGCUUAGUGUUGGGAGACUGCCUAAUACGCAGCUCCUCAAAACCAGUGGCAGAGUUUUUACGUACUCUGAGCGCAGUAAUUCUAUUCUCGCUUCUGAACACGUCUAGACGAUAGCCAAAAACCGCUUGCUUCGGCAGCACUUUUUUAAUGGUUGACCUCGGAUCAGGUAGGAAUACCCGCUGAACUUAAGCAUAUCAAUAA